CCUACGUGAGGCAGCAGUGAGGAAUAUUGGUCAAUGGGCGCGAGCCUGAACCAGCCAAGUAGCGUGAAGGAUGACUGCCCUACGGGUUGUAAACUUCUUUUAUAAAGGAAUAAAGUGAGUCACGUGUGCCUUUUUGUAUGUACUUUAUGAAUAAGGAUCGGCUAAAUCCGUGCCAGCAGCCGCGUUAAUACGGAGGAUACGGUCGUUAACCGGAUUUAUUGGGUUUAAAGGGAGCGUAGAUGGGUUGUUAAGUCAGUUGUGAAAGUUUGCGGCUCAACCGUAAAAUUGCAAUUGAUACUGGCAGUCUUGAGUACAGUUGAGGUAGGCGGAAUUCGUGGUGUAGCGGUGAAAUGCUUAGAUAUCACGAAGAACUCCGAUUGCGAAGGCAGCUUACUAAACUGCCACUGACAUUGAUGCUCGAAAGUGUGGGUAUCAAACAGGAUUAGAUACCCUUGUAGUC
rnacentral:rRNA from 1 species